rnacentral:rRNA from 1 species
AGAGUUUGAUCAUGGCUCAGGACGAACGCUGGCGGCGUGCUUAACACAUGCAAGUCGAACGGAAAGGCCCCUUCGGGGGUACUCGAGUGGCGAACGGGUGAGUAACACGUGGGUGAUCUGCCCUGCACUUUGGGAUAAGCCUGGGAAACUGGGUCUAAUACCGAAUAGGACCGCAUGCUUCAUGGUGUGUGGUGGAAAGCUUUUGCGGUGUGGGAUGGGCCCGCGGCCUAUCAGCUUGUUGGUGGGGUAAUGGCCUACCAAGGCGACGACGGGUAGCCGGCCUGAGAGGGUGUCCGGCCACACUGGGACUGAGAUACGGCCCAGACUCCUACGGGAGGCAGCAAUGGGGAAUAUUGCACAAUGGGCGCAAGCCUGAUGCAGCGACGCCGCGUGGGGGAUGACGGCCUUCGGGUUGUAAACCUCUUUCAGUAUCGGCGAAGCUCCAGGAUUUUUCUUGGGGUGACGGUAGGUACAGAAGAAGCACCGGCCAACUACGUGCCAGCAGCCGCGGUAAUACGUAGGGUGCGAGCGUUGUCCGGAAUUACUGGGCGUAAAGAGCUCGUAGGUGGUUUGUCACGUUGUCCGUGAAAACUCACAGCUUAACUGUGGGCGUGCGGGCGAUACGGGCAGACUGGAGUACUGUAGGGGAGACUGGAAUUCCUGGUGUAGCGGUGGAAUGCGCAGAUAUCAGGAGGAACACCGGUGGCGAAGGCGGGUCUCUGGGCAGUAACUGACGCUGAGGAGCGAAAGCGUGGGGAGCGAACAGGAUUAGAUACCCUGGUAGUCCAA